GCAGCGGCCGGCAGUGGCGGCCCACGGUCGCUGUCUGAACAGCUAACAGAUGUCGGAGCUAUUUGGGGCCUGUGAUGUCACCUGGCGGGCCGGCCCAUGACUGUGGUUAUGAUGUCAUCUGCCGUCUGGCUGUGCGGCUCUGUGGCCAGUGAAGUCACUGGGGAGGGAGAGUCCCCCCUGGAGGCCCCCGUGUACCCUGCACAGGCAGCCGUCUCCCCUGGACUCCAGGCACCAAGAUAGCCCAGGAGGCUUGAGGGCUGCCAAAGGAGCAGCCGGCCAGGCCUGGAGCCAUGGUGCCAUGCUUUUGGCCUCAGGACCACUCCCUUCCGGGGGGCUGGAAUGCCCAGGCCUCCCUGGUCCUGCCCAGCCAGCCUACCUCCUGCCACUCCACCACUGUGAGUCAGUGCCCACUUCACACCCGUAUCUACUGACUUUGCAGGAGAUUUUCAAGGAACCACGGAGGUGUUUAAAGAGGACGUCAUUGAAAACUAGGCAAUUUUUUGGUUCUUUCUGGCCCAGCUGAUUGAGUUUACCACGUCUCUGUCUAAACCAUCACGCGCCCAAAGCUUUGACCCAGUUUCAGCCCCUGGGAGCAAGAAAAGAAGUGAGAAAGGAGAAGAAUCGUGGCUCUUAUUGUCGUCAUGGCAUGUGAAACCACAACUGAACAUUUUCACCCACAGUGUUUGGGCAUGACCUACUCGGGGUGUCAAAGUUCAAGGUAGAAGGAGCAACAAGCUCUCUUCCCAGUAAAGUUUCCUCUACCUGCUCCCUAUGCCCCCGCCCCCGCCCCCAGGACCUAUCAAGCGGAUGUGAGGCAUUACACAAUCCUGAGGGGAUGACAUCAGUGGGAAGGAAUUUAGGACAUUAGUGCAACAAGGGGCUUAUAGAAUUCUGGGGAAAAAUCUUGACUUUGUUUGGAACAUUACUGGACUCCCAUUGCACGGGAUAUGUUUAGUUGCAG
ensembl:lncRNA